rnacentral:lncRNA from 1 species
AGUAAGAUACAAAUAGAAAAUACUAUUAAUUGAGAACAGUUUCUCUUUUGAAAUAUAUUGAAAAUGAAGGAAACUAAACGGAUACAUGAAGAAGCUGAAAAGAAAUGUAAAUACUUGGUGCGUAAUGGAACGUGUACUCGUAAUGACAGGUGUCAAGUUAAUGUUUUGACGUUUUGCCUGUUUCAGAAAAAUCUUCGUAAAUUGUACUCACAGUACGGUUUUGUUGUGUGUCGCAAACUUAAAUAAAUAUAAAUUUUUUGCAAACUCGCCCACCACAAGAUAUUAAUUGUCGUUGUCUACUAGACCUGUCUUUUACACCUAGAAAGGGAUGCCAUCAGUAUAGUUCCGUUUAAAACUCAAAUCUAAGGUACGCAUCUGUAGCAAGUAAUUCGCGAGUCAACACAGGUAACAUAAGGAAUAAUGUUUUAUUUGUAAGGAGGAAUCUUACAUAUUUUAUGACUAAAAGUUUGUACGAAUGUAAAAACAAAGGACUGUUACCUCGUUGGCGACGGUAACUUUCAGAAGAUCGUGUAACUUAUUGAUUUGAUUUGGAAUAGACAUUGAUAAAUUCCAAAUUCUGAGAACAACAACAGUGGAAAUUGAAUUUAUUAAGAGCUUUUACACUGAAGUAGAGUAACGUCUAACUUUUCUGACAGUUCUGUUUCGAAAACAAUUUUCUGCAUUUUUUAUUUUAUAUUAUUUAAGUAGAGCUCCG